rnacentral:misc_RNA from 1 species
GAUGAAGAACGCAGCGAAAUGCGAUAAGUAGUGUGAAUUGCAGAAUUCAGUGAAUCAUCGAAUCUUUGAACGCACAUUGCGCCCCUUGGUAUUCCAUGGGGCAUGCCUGUUCGAGCGUCAUUUCAACCAUCAAGCCCCCGGCUUGUGUUGGGGACCUGCGGCUGCCGCAGGCCCUGAAAACCAGUGGCGGGCUCGCUAGUCACUCCGAGCGUAGUAAUACAUCUCGCUCAGGGCGUGCUGCGGGUUCCGGCCGUUAAAAAGCCUUAUUUACCCAAGGUUGACCUCGGAUCAGGUAGGAAGACCCGCUGAACUUAAGCAUAUCAAUAAGCGGAGGA